CACGUCUUAAACUUAAAAAGGUGUGUGUGGGAACACGUACAAGGAGAGAUGUCUCUGUAGCGAUUUUUGGAAAUGUUCUGAGGUAAUUUGGCACACAGCAUGGUCAUCCCGGGCCUCUUCCUGUACAGUUGCUGUAAGAAAAGGAGAACGUUGACAUGCUUGCUCUGAACAAUCACCAUCAAUGGGAAAUAACACUUGGAACGUACAGUGGUGCCUCUAGUCAAGAGUGUUUUGAGAUAAGAGCUGUCCCUGUUGUCUUUUAGGCUUUAAUUGUUGGCGUUGCAAAGGCCACAGUGAACCCCGUAAAAUGGCUUGCAUUAUUAGAUUAUAGCUGGAGAUAGACAUAACUUUGUUUUCCAACCAUGGGAAGGAGGGAAGUGAAGUACAGUGCUGAGAAGAAGAAGUGGAUUAUAUCAAAUUAAAGAAAGAAAUCAUCAAAAACAUGACAGCGGGUGUCAUUAACUUGGUGCAAGCAACUGCCAGUCUGCACCAUACUGAAGCAGAAUGAGUCGAACGCCAGCCAAGAACGUUAAAAAAGAUAUUAACAUUUAUCCAUGAAAAUAUGGAAAAGCUGCUGAUGGUGUAUUUGAAGCAGAAGCAGCUGGAAGGAAAUACCGUGGACGUCCACUUUCCAAGUAUUGGCAGGAACAUCGUACAUCUCGUUGAGGUGGUUGUCCAGGAGACUCUGCUGCGAGUGGGCCUGGAUGAUCUGGCUCAAGGUCUUCCUGCUCAGCUGCUUGGGGGGCAGAGCUGGAGGCAGGCCGUCCACGCCAUCGGGAGAGCUGCGAGUGAGAGAAAGACCGGAGAGAAGCAACACUUUUGUCAGUACAGUACGUGCUCCCGUACUCUCAAAUAUAAAAAUAUGUAAAAGAAAAGACGCAAAACAAAGUGAGAGAAAAAAAGGAGGAAGGAAAACACCCUCCAGCUCAUCAACGUGACAAUGACAGAUGUCUCAGUGUGUAAAGUGAAAGGUUAGUCAGGUGACAUCAUGACUCCUUUAUGAAGGGUACCAGCCAGUCGUCACACACUGCCAGGGGAUGGAAGCAGCAGUCAAAGAUCAUAUUCAUUGCUGGUGUUUUGACUGCUGCUGUCCGUCUGUCACUAAAGUACAAACACACACGCGCACAAAAAGGUCAGCGGGGGCGGGGCAGGCCUGAGACAUCUUUAUAUGUUCCUGCCGUCUUCCCGCCAAUCCACGCAUUAAAAAAUAUUGUAAUCAUUUUAAGAUGACAACGUUUCCAAAUAAACAGCAAUGCAUAAUCUAUACCCCUAGCAAAAAUGUUUAACGGCGCGCGGCACAUUCUAAAAAUACAAAAAACAAAAACAAAAAAAAACACAAAAAAGUGAAAUAAAAUAGCCAACAGGUAACAUGUUGCAAUGUUGACUCUGAUAACACAACGAUGCCAUGCAUGUGUUUUUCUUUAACGCUGUCAUUGCUCGAAACAUAAUAAUGAAUCAAAAUCAAUGUUGUUAUGAAUUAUUGAAGGCUCCAAUUACUUCACAUCAAAAAUUCCCCUUUAAAAUAUUUUUUGGUUGAAAAUAUUGCCUAUUUUGUGUGUUUGCCAUAUAAAAAAAUAAAGUUUUAUUUGAUACAUUGUCACUGAAGGCAUCAAAACUAUGACACCUGUGAAGUGCAAACCCUUUCAGGUGACUUACCUUUUGAAGCUCAU